rnacentral:tRNA from 3 species
GCGCUCGUAGCUCAGGUGGAUAGAGCAGGAGCCUUCUAAGCUCUUGGUCGGGGGUUCGAAUCCUCCCGGGCGCGCCA